AUCUGGAGAGCGGCGGACGGGUGAGUAACGCGUGGGAACGUGCCCUUAGGUGGGGGACAACAGUUGGAAACGACUGCUAAUACCGCAUAAGCCAAUUUGGGAAAGCCUUCGGGCGCCUUGGGAUCGGCCCGCGUUAGAUUAGGUAGUUGGUGGGGUAAAGGCCUACCAAGCCUACGAUCUAUAGCUGGUUUGAGAGAAUGAUCAGCCACACUGGGACUGAGACACGGCCCAGACUCCUACGGGAGGCAGCAGUGGGGAAUAUUGCGCAAUGGGGGAAACCCUGACGCAGCCAUGCCGCGUGGGUGAAGAAGGCCUUCGGGUUGUAAAGCCCUUUCAACGGUGAAGAUGAUGACUGUAGCCGUAGAAGAAGCCCCGGCUAACUUCGUGCCAGCAGCCGCGGUAAUACGAAGGGGGCUAGCGUUGUUCGGAAUUACUGGGCGUAAAGGGCGCGUAGGCGGACUGACCAGUCAGGGGUGAAAUCCCGAGGCUCAACCUCGGAACUGCCUUUGAUACUGUCAGUCUAGAGUCUGUGAGAGGAUGACGGAAUACCCAGUGUAGAGGUGAAAUUCGUAGAUAUUGGGUAGAACACCGGUGGCGAAGGCGGUCAUCUGGCGCAGCACUGACGCUGAGGCGCGAAAGCGUGGGGAGCAAACAGGAUUAG
rnacentral:rRNA from 1 species